AUUGAACGCUGGCGGCAGGCCUAACACAUGCAAGUCGAGCGGAGCGGCGGACGGGUGAGUAAUGCCUAGGAAUCUGCCUGGUAGUGGGGGAUCCCGUCCGGGACCGGGCGCUAAUACCGCCUACUAUCAGCUGAGCCUAGGUCGGAGUAGAUAGUUGGUGGGGGAAGGGCCUACCAAGGCGAAGAUACAUAGCUGGUCUGAGAGGAUGAUCAGUCACACUGGAACUGAGCCACGGCCCAGACUCCUACGGGAGGCAGCAGUGGGGAAUAUUGGACAAUGGGCGAAAGCCUGAUCCAGCAAUGCCGCGUGGGUGAAGAAGGCCUGCGGGUUGUAAAGCCCUUUUGUUGGGAAAGCGGUACCCAAAGAAUAAGCAACGGCUAACUUCGUGCCAGCAGCCGCGGUAAUUC
rnacentral:rRNA from 1 species